rnacentral:lncRNA from 1 species
AAGCUCUAUCAUCGAAAACAAAUCGGUAGUAAAACGGCUUCGUUUACUACCGAUAGUAUUCUAGCAAAACUCUCUCUCUCUCUCUCUCUAUAUAUAUAUAAUUAAAAAAUAUAUAAAUAAAAUAUAUUUUAAUUACAUAUAGACUGAGUGAGUAAUUUGAAUUUCGUUAAAAUUGGAUCAAUAUUAUUGGCCCAUAAAACCAAACUCAAUAUGCCAACAAAACAAUAAAAUUUUACUAAAUUUACACUCUUACACUCUUUCUUUCACUAAAUUCUCUCUCUCUCUCUCUCUCUCUCUCUCUCUCUCUCUCCCCAAGCGGUCAAAGCCUAAAGCUUUUAAGUUACCAAGUAACAGCACGCGCUCGUUGUUGCCUAUCUCGCCAUUAGUUGUGUGCUUCAGAAAAUAUAUAAAAUAUUUUUAAGAUAAAAAUAUUAUUUGUACAAAAUUUUGAUUUUAGUUAUAUAUGAUUGUAUAGUUUAAUUCAAUAUUUACUUAUAUAAUUUAUUCAUUUUUUGACCGUAUAGAUGAAAAAAAAUAAUAUGGAAAUUGAAGGUGGGAGAGAAGAUAUAGAGCCUGAAAAGAUUAAAUAUUCAACUCAUAAGUUAUUUUUUUUAUAUUAUAAUACCGUACUUUAUAUAAUUAUUUUACAUUUUGAACUAUUAGAUAUAUUUUUAUAUUAAGUUGUAAAUAAUAUUUUAUACAAAUUAAACUAUUGAUCGUAUGAUGUUGAGAAAUUAAGCGGCUCGUUUAGUGUUCAAGCUUGUUCAACUCAAAAUUAGGCUCACUUGAGUUUGACUCGAAUUAAUUUGAAGCCAAGUUUGAGCCUAAAUUUAGACUCGAAAUUAAUUUCAAGCCGAAUUUAAGCUGAGAU